CAAAACGUUAAGUAUAAAAGCUAUUUAUGCUAUUUACGUUGAAUUUCUGCGGUUUGCGGUCGAUGUACUUUUAAACGGAGUUGCCAGUAUCGAUACAUCUUCUGGUUACUUGGAAUUAGUUGGUUUAAGUGGACUUUUGCUGUGUUCGGAAUGUUUUCAAAAGGAAUUUUUCUGUGGAGAGAAUGUUGAUCUCGAAAUUUGUGGUUUAAAUUUGGAUCGGUAAUUAUCUACAACGUUGCGAGGUAUCAGUCAACCUCGUUUAGACAAUGGCACCAGGUUGCAAUGAAAAACUUGAUGAUGAAGCGAAGAAGGAAAAUGGGAAGGUUUUAAUCCUGAUGAUUAGGGACAGUGGAAAAUCACGAUUUCACGGAAGCCGCGAAUCCCGCGAAUAUCUACAGAAACCCUCGAAAUGCCGCGAAAGUAAUGAAAAAAUAGCAACAUUCAUGUCAUCUCCGAAAUUAUUUAAAAACUAGCAAAACAUACACAGCUGAAGGUAAAUCGGCACCUAGAUGGCAACGGGAUGCCUUUUCUAGCGCAGCGAAUCUGCUGUUGAAACUGGAUUUUGAGAAUACCAGUUCAGAGAGACAUGACGAUGAGCAAUUUUGGAAUUGUCUACCAUUCCCCCAGUUCAAGUGACCAGCGUUUUUCGAAAAUUUUAGAUAAAUGGUGGGAAAAUUUUGUUGAUUUGAAUAAAUUAAACAUAAUUGCUGGUGAUUUCAAUAUUGAUUGGUUUGAAAAAGGAUAGAUGUGUAUA